GCUUACGGCCACUCCUCCCUCAGCAUGACCAAUCUCGUCUCAACUUUGACGCUAAGCCGGGUUGGGCCCGGUUAGUACUUGGAUGGGAGACCGCCUGGGAAUACCAGGUGAUGUAAGCC
ensembl:rRNA 5S_rRNA 5S ribosomal RNA